UAGCUUGCUAAUGAGAUUCUUAGUGGCGGACGGGUUAGUAACACGUGAGAUACCUACCCUUUAGACAGGAAUAGCCCAUGGAAACGUGGAAUAAUACCUGAUAGUCUCUACGGAGUAAAUGAUGCCUUCGGGUGUCGCUAAAGGAUGGGCUCGCGGCCUAUCAGUUUGUUGGUGAGGUAAAGGCUCACCAAGACUACGACGGGUAGCUGGUCUGAGAGGACGAUCAGCAACACUGGAACUGAGACACGGUCCAGACACCUACGGGUGGCAGCAGUCGAGAAUCAUUCACAAUGGAGGAAACUCUGAUGGUGCAACGCCGCGUGGAGGAUGACGGCCCUAGGGUUGUAAACUCCUGUCAUUGGGGAGUAAGACUUAUGCGUUAAGAGCGUGUAAGUUUGAUAGUACCCAAAGAGGAAGGGACGGCUAACUUCGUGCCAGCAGCCGCGGUAAUACGAAGGUCCCAAGCGUUGUUCGGAAUAACUGGGCGUAAAGCGUGUGUAGGCUGCGCGGAAAGUCAAAUGUGAAAGCCAAGGGCUCAACCCUUGAACUGCAUUCGAUACUCCCGUGCUAGAGUAAUGGAGAGGUAAGUGGAAUUCUCGGUGUAGCAGUGAAAUGCGUAGAUAUCGAGAGGAACAUCAAUGGCGAAGGCAACUUACUGGACAUUUACUGACGCUCAGACACGAAGGCUAGGGGAGCGAAAGGGAUUAGAUACCCCUGUAGUCCUAGCAGUAAACGGUGCUCGC
rnacentral:rRNA from 1 species